rnacentral:rRNA from 1 species
CCAAUAGCGUAUAUUAAAGUUGUUGCAGUUAAAAAGCUCGUAGUUGAAUUUCGGGACCAAUAUGUCGGUCGUGCUUCGGUACGUACCUGCAUUAUUGGUUUCUCCCUUCUGAAGAACCAUGAUGUCAUCAAUUUGGUGUCUUGGGGAAUCAGGACUGUUACUUUGAAAAAAUUAGAGGGGUUAAAGCAGGCCCACGCUUGAAUACAUUAGCAUGGAAUAAUGAAAUAGGACGUUUGAUUCUAUUUUGUUGGUUUCUAGGAUCGACGUAAUGAUUAAUAGGGAUAGUUGGGGGCAUUAGUAUUCAAUUGUCAGAGGUGAAAUUCUUGGAUUUAUUGAAGACUAACUACUGCGAAAGCAUUUGCCAAGGAUGUUUUCAUUAAUCAAGAACGAAAGUUAGGGGAUCGAAGACGAUCAGAUACCGUCGUAGUCUUAACCAUAAACUAUGCCGACUAGGGAUCGGAUGAUGUUAAUUUUUUAAUGACUCAUUCGGCGCCUUACG